rnacentral:tRNA from 1 species
GGGCGAGUGGCGGAAUGGCAGACGCUGGGGACUUAAAAUCCCCUCCGGUAAUACCGGGUGCGGGUUCGAAUCCCGCCUCGCCCA